rnacentral:lncRNA from 1 species
AUGAAUGUUAAAAAUCUGUUUAAAAAGCACAUUCUCGUAUUUUUCCACUUUCAAACAGAUUUUUUAUUAUUCAAAACAAUAACUGAUAGAUCUGCCUUUUCUCUAUUUUCAGCUUCAAGAAUGACCACAGAAAUGAUAAUUCCAAAGAAAAAAGUAAACAGUUCGAUUACCAAUACAAAAAUUAAUAAAUGGGAUAGCAUUAAGCAAUGCCAGAUUUCAGUGGCGAGACAGAUUCAGAAUUUAUACCCUGGUUUGUGCUCUGACCACUAAACAACAUACAGCUUCCAGAAACCACAGACUGCAUUAUAGGUGACACCGGGGUAAGGGUAUAGAGAAAAAUGAGUGCUAUUCUUUGUUUAAAUAUCAUUUUUUUAAUAAGGAGGGAACAGAGUGAAUUUUAUAAAUGCUGGUUUAAAAACCAUUGAUCUUUAAGAAAGGAGAGAAAAAUCAAAUGUAAAAAAACAUGUACUUGUGCUGAACUGUGAAUAAGAAAACCUUCAGUGAAAUGUCUAAAGACGAUAGUGCCUGAAAGGACCUGUAGUAACACGUAAAGCAGGCAGGAUUAUAAAUGCGUAGUUCUUGAAGAACACCAACAUUACACAGACCCUCCUCCUUUGCUGCCUUCCCAGAGGAUAGUGAGCUAAAGCUUACGGAGGCCUAGCCACCAAAGGCAGAGUUUGUCUUUUCAUAUCCCAGGCUAGCAAUUGGUACACAAUCCCUAUCUUAUCACCAUCACUGAGAAUUAUAAAUCUAACUUCUGGGUAGAUUGUCCAGAUUGCUUUCUUCAUCUUUGUAUACCCAGUGGCUUGAGUAUAGCUGGCACUCUGUAGAUUUUGUGGUGUUACAAGAGCACCAGUUAGUGCAAAGAGCAAAAUCCUCUCCUCCUCCUUUCUAUCCAGAAAUUGCUAAAAUGGUAAGUGUCAACAAGAGAAAUAUCCAUAAGCAGGGCAGGACUGUCAUGGACUGAGUCAAUUGGGACUGGUUUCUGUUGAUAGUUUGUGAAUUUCUGUCAUUUGGAGAAUUAGUGUCAGCGGAACUCACAUAAGGGCAUUCUGUAAGGGAAAGAAAGAAAUAGGUUAUGAGUUUGGCCUUCAGUUUUAAUGAUUCUAUACAUGAGAAAAUUAGACUGUCUGAUUUUUGUUGCUUUUAGAAAUGUAAUACAUACCACACGAUGUGUUCCAUCUUGUAAUACCUGAGAGGCAAGUUUUUGGAAUAGCUCUGUAGAACCCAGUUUAUUACACAGAAUUAUGGAUUUCAGAGAAUCGAUCUGAUCCUUAGUCUGAUUCUCAGUGGCAUUACAUACCAAUACAAUGGGAUAGGAUGCCCACGGGCCUGCAUUGAAAAGUCUCCAUAAGACUGUUGACUCCUCCAAACUUAUUUAUAGCUUACUGUUGAUUGGAAGCCUUACCUAUAACAUAGUUUACUUGUAUAUAAUAUGCAUUAUAUACUGCAUGCUUACAAUAAUAUCUUUUUCUUUUUCUGGUAUUUCUAGGCUAUGCUGUUUGAGUUUUCUCAAAUCGUUGCAAAUCUCCAAAAAUUUUUCCAAUAUAAGUUUUUAAAAAAUUCUACAUACAGCUCAAAUCUGUGGAGUUUAAGCGUCAACUGCAUAGUGUCCUUGGUUAAGACCACGUUGUGGAAAGGCACAGGCUGACAAGGGGAAUUUCCUCUCCUCUCCAAGAAACCAGACCUGCCAGUGUGGUAUCAAUUAAACAAUUGGGUGUUUUGCUCUCCACUUCUGGAGUUUACCAGUUUGGAGGUCUUAGGUGGGGUAGCAGAUAGAUUUAGAGUCUUGAAGAUAGGGCAGUGUGAAACAGAGUCAGAAAACCUGGAUUCAGCCUCCACUUUGCACUUGAGCUGAUCAAUUAACACACGUUAAAAAAAAAUCGGGACUAAUAAAACUUGUAAUAGUGAUUUCA